rnacentral:lncRNA from 1 species
GAAGACUCCAACAUUGCAAGCUCAAAUCUAGAGUUAGAGUUAGGGGAGCCCCCAUCACUAGGACUUCCAAACUCUGACAUCUACAACAAACUGAAACAAACUCUCUCACCACAUGAAAGAUCGAAACAUAAGGAAGUUCCUAGGGCACGGAGAAAAGCUCAAUCAGUUUAUUAUGUUCUCAACCAAAUACAUGAACACUCAAACAAUUCAACAAGAAUGAAAGCAUGUGAUCUAAUGGAGAAGAUUACCAACCUGAAGAUGGUGCAAAGCGAUGCCGGAAUCCCUCUCAACUAUAAGAGCACUCUAUCUCCAAAAAUCACUACAAAAUGAGCAAAUGAAGACAAUGAAAAGAGUGGAAACUUCUCAUUCUUAUAAGGUUCAACAUGGCCAAAGAAAUUCAAAAUUCAAAAUUCAAACCAUGAGAAAACCCCACAUGGAAAGUCUUUAAACUUCCACACAAGCUAGGGAGUUUUCCAAUUUCAAACUUGCAGCACCCCCUCUCCCCCUUAAAAAAAAAAAAAGAAAAAAGGUGAACACAUUAGCUUCAUCAAUUUAUGGUGCCAACAAGAGCUUCAUCAAAGAAGUUCAACCACAAUUCUCAAAAGCUUCACACACUCUUGAUCAAGACAGUGUGAAGCAAAACCAAUUUAUGGUGCCAACAAGAGCUUCAUCAAUGAAGGGCAACCACAAUUCUCAAAAGCUUUACACACUCUUGAUCAAGACAGUGUGAAGCAAAACCAAUUUAUGGUGCCAACAAGAGCUUCAUCAAUGGAGGGCAACCAUAAUUCUCAAAAGCUUCACACACUUUUGAUUAAGACAGUGUGAAGUAAAACCAAUUUAUGAUGCCAACAAGAGCUUCAUCAAAGGAGUUCAACCACAACUCUCAAAAGCUUCACACACUUUUGAUCAAGACAAUGUGAAGCAAAACCAAUUUAUGGUGCCAACAAAAGCUUCAUUAAUGAAGGGCAACUACAAUUCUCAAAAGCUUUACACCACUCUUGAUCAAGACAGCGUGAAGCAAAACCAAUUUAUGGUGCCAACAAGAGCUUCAUCAAUGGAGGACAAGCACAACUCUCAAAAGCUUCACACACUCUUGAUCAAGACAGUGUGAAGCAAAACCAAUUUAUAGUGCUAACAAGAGCUUCAUCAAUGGAGGACAAGCACAACUCUCAAAAUAUUCACACACUCUUGAUUAAGACAGUGUGAAGCAAAAUCAAUUUAUGGUGCCAACCAGAGCUUCAUCAAAGGAGUUCAACCACAACUCUCAAAAGCUUCACACUAUCUUGAUCAAGAUAGUGUGAAGCAAAAUCAAUUCAUGGUGCCCAACAAAGCUUCAACCUUAAAGCUUCACCUACAAAGAUUCAACACAAAAGCUUCAUCAAUGGAGGACAACUACAAAUUCUCAAAAGCUUCA